ACAACUGGCUGGACUGUGUAAACCCGUAGAUCCGAACUUGUGUUAGAGUUCGGCUCGCAAGCUCGCAUCUCUGGGUCUAUGCCGUCUUGGCACAAGCGAUC